rnacentral:rRNA from 1 species
AACGAACGCUGGCGGCGUGCUUAACACAUGCAAGUCGAACGUGAUUCAGAGCUUGCUCUGAUGAAAGUGGCGCACGGGUGAGUAACGCGUGGAUAACCUGCCCUGGUAUCUGGGAUAACAUUUCGAAAGGAGUGCUAAUACCGGAUAAGCCCACGGGGUCUUCGGACCUUGCGGGAAAAGGUGGCCUCUGAAUAUGCUACUGUAUCAGGAUGAGUCCGCGUCCCAUUAGCUAGUUGGCGGGGUAAUGGCCCACCAAGGCAUCGAUGGGUAGCUGGUCUGAGAGGAUGAUCAGCCACACUGGAACUGAGACACGGUCCAGACUCCUACGGGAGGCAGCAGUGGGGAAUUUUGCGCAAUGGGGGAAACCCUGACGCAGCAACGCCGCGUGAGUGAUGAAGGCCUUCGGGUCGUAAAGCUCUGUCAGAGGGAAAGAAGUGUAGGAGGGCUAAUACCCCUUUUACUUGACGGUACCCUCAAAGGAAGCACCGGCUAACUCCGUGCCAGCAGCCGCGGUAAUACGGAGGGUGCGAGCGUUGUUCGGAAUUAUUGGGCGUAAAGCGCGUGUAGGCGGUUUUUUAAGUCUGAUGUGAAAGCCCUGGGCUCAACCCGGGAAGUGCAUUGGAAACUGGGAGACUUGAAUACGGGAGAGGGCAGUGGAAUUCCUGGUGUAGGAGUGAAAUCCGUAA